rnacentral:lncRNA from 1 species
AAACACUCGUCUCCUCCUUGUGAUAAUCACCAUCGUCGUCAAAACCCACGCUAAAUCUUAUGUUCUCUCUUCCAUCCCCAUUCAAAUUUCAUCAAAAAGACAAAAGGGAUAAAGAAAUGUAAAGUUGGCACUGCAACUCUGCAACUGAGCCACGAUUUUUCAUCGGUCAUCGGCUCCAAAACCUAAUCUCUCAUCCCGCAACCAAUUGGUAAUUCAUACUAUCAACCCAUUAUGGUUUCUAAUCGAUGAUUAUAAACAAAAUUUUAGUCCCUGUUCUUUUAACCGUCAACCCUUAUUUCAACUCUGAGAAUAAAAUUGAGAAAUUCCAUCCAUGGCGGUUCUUGACUCUAACCUUGUUACAAACUGUUGACUUUGUUUUGUGUAGGGCAGAGAUUAUGGACUAGAUCCUACAACACCUAUAACAAUAUAUUUCAUUGGUUGUAUAUGCUCGGUUUGGUUACUGGAAUCCCUCUUCUGCACAAACUUAAUGAGAAAAACAAAAUAAAAAUCCCAAACUCAAGAAGCAGAGGAAAUAGGAGAUGUUGAGAUAAUGGAAGUUAGAUUCCAGAAGGUCAUGUGAAUGAAGGUAUUCGUAGAGCAUGCGGUGUAGAUAAAGACGUCCAGUAAUGUUUUAAUUUAUUAUGUGAUAAACAACUAAAUGUGAUUAUCACAUCGUAAAUUAGAACAUUAUCAUCAUCUUUAUCGAUACCACAUACUUUACAAAUACUUUCAUUGACAUGACCUUCUGGAAUCUUAUUUCUGCUAUCUAGAACUUCUUCUAUUUCUUUCUUGCUUCCUGAGCUUGAGGUUUUUAACAAUUGUUUCCCCCCUUAAGUUUGCGCACAAAAGGGAGAACCAAAAUGAAAAUGAAGAGG